AUGUCGGCCAUCUCCAAAGGCAAGGAUCAGAACACAGGACCUGCUGGAUACCGGAGGAGGCUUAUGAGAGACAGAGGAAGCUGCCCCAGGGACCGGGGACUGAGAGACCAAGGGACCAAGGGACCAGAGAGCCCAGAGACCAGCCCAUCUUUGGCUUUGCCGAAUGACUUUGGACAGCCUCUCUACCUUCCUGGGCUUCCAUUUCUCCAUCCACAAAACGGUGACAAGAUGAGGGAAAGGAGGUGUGCAGGCCUGGAGCUUCCCAGGUUCCAGCUAGAACAGGGGCAAGCCGGAGUUCAAUCUUCCAGCCUGCAGAUGCCAUUGCUGAGGUGCCAUGAGGCUGCGGGUCCUGCACCACAAAGUUUGCAGAGGCUAGAAACCUGGACGGGGAGACCCCACUGUGCAGCUUUUCCCACAUCGGCAUCCUGUUGACCCGGCCAUCACAGAUGUCACCUCCGAGGCUGGGGGGUGGGGGGCCAAAGGCUGCAUUCCUCCUGGUGUCCUCGAGAUCUGACCUCCAGGUCGGCAGAUUUAGGAUUUAUUGUUCACACUUUCUCCACACAGUAGCAGUCCAAGGUGCCCGAGAAAUCUGCUUGGCUGACCAUGCCUGUCCUUCAGGUGAAGAAAGAGAAAGCCAAGAGCAUCCUGGGGUCUAGUCCAGGGUCACACAGCAAUCAACCAUGGUGGAACCUGGGCCAAGGUCUGACAUGUGUCUCUUGGCCAGUGUCCAGUCACCUGUGGUUUAGCAAUGACCUCCAGCAGGGCAGGCUGAGGAGGGGAGAGACACAGCCCUGGUGAAAAAGAACGAUGCGUUUUAGCAAGCCCAAGGUCAAGGGCAGCUCCCUCCACAAAUGUAGCCAGUGCCUUGCACUCCCAGAGCCGUUAAAAAUAUUUUUUGGUCUCAGGACCCCUUUAUACUCUUAAAAAUUAUUGAUGAAUCCCAAGAUCUUCUUUUUGUGGUCAUUAUAUCUACCAACAUUUACUGUGCUAAAAAUUAAAACUAAGAUAUUUAGUAUUACUUAAUGUAAUAAUAAUAAGCAUUCUAAUAUAAUUUAUUUUAUGAAAAAUCAUCACAUUUUUGAAAACAAAAAGAAAUUGCGAAGAGUAGCAUUGUUUUAUAUUUUCCCAAAUCUCUUUAAUGCCUGGCUUAAAAGAGGACAGCUGGGUUCUCACUCCUGCUUCCGUAUUCAGUCUGUUGUGAGAUAUCAUGACACAGAGGCUCUGGAAAACCCCAUUGUACACUCAUGAAAGACUGAAAGUAAAAAAGGCAAAUAACAUCUUAGUCUUAGUCUUGACCUAAUGGAUCCCCUGAAAGGGUCUCGGGGAACUUAGGGGCCCCCAGAGACCACACUUUAGAAACACCGGUUCUAAACAUUAGAACCACUAUUGAUUUAAUUUUCACCACACUGGGGCACCUGGGUGGCUCACUCAGCUAAGCGCCUGACUUUGGCUCGGGUUGUGAUUCUGGAGUCCGGGGAUUGAGCCCUGUAUCAGGCUCCCUACUCAGUGAGGAGUCUGCUUCAUCCUCUGCCUCUCGCCCUGCUCCUGUUCUUGCUCUCCCGAUCUCUCUCAAAUUAAUAAAAUCUUCUAAAAAAAAUUUUCACCACACUGUGGGAGGUGCAUCCUAUUGUUAUUUCCAUUUUAUAGAUGAGCAAAAUGAGGCUCAGAGAGGUUAUGAGGCUUGCUCAUAAGACACCCAGCCAGUGAGCAGUGGUAUCAAGAUUUGAACCCAAGAUAAUCAACUCUGGGGAAGUGUGUUCCUAACAGCAACACUGUACUCUAGGCCCCAGCUGAUGGACAGAUAUUGUGGGAGGAAUGGGAUCAGGAAGGAGCCAGACGUUCUGGGUACCCUAAGUGGGGAGAUGUAGUGUGGUGGUUAAGAUUAUGGGCUUGGGAACAGUGACCGGCCCCACAUCCUAGCUGUGCCCUGUACAUGCUGUGUGACCAGGAGCAAAGUACUCAACUCCUCUGAGCCUCAGAUACUCCCUCUGUAAAAUGUGGUAAUAUAUUUACAUCAUGGGGUCAUGGGGAGGAUUCAGUGUUAAAUCAUGUAAAUUAUAACAGUGCUCGAUACAUGUCAUAUAUAGUACACAUCUUUUAGCUGGUAUAGAUUUGAAAACAGGGCCAUGGAUAUGGUUUUGGUGAAGCUGGAGGGAGGCAGGGCGCAGCUGUAGCACAGGGCCAGAAGGCAGGGCCGAGGCAGGGAGAAGUUGGGUGGCCUGGAGGGUGAAGGAGGGACUUUCAGACUAUGAGCAUGUUCUGAAGCGUGGGCACGGACUGGCGCUGGACUCCACGGACUCUGGGCAUCCAAGCCAGCAGAGAAAUGCAGUGUGCCAGGAGGGCCAGCCUCACCUGGCCUGGGGCACAGAGGCCAGAUCCCCUGCUCGGGGCCAGCUGGCCGCUGGGGACUGAGACCAGGCCUGCCCGGAAAAGCCACCAGGCCACCUGCUCUCCUGAGCCCCUUCAAAGUGUGAAGCCUCUGGCUCCCUGUUUCUCUCAUCAUCCCAGCUCUAGAAAAUAAUCUAAACCAUCUUGUCAAAUUGAGGAACCUGAGUCCCAGAGAGGGAACCAGACUGCCCACGUCACACAGCAAGUGGGGGACAAAAGGCCGAGGCUACCUGGCAUCUGAUUCAGGCUGUGUCUGCUGCACCGCGCCACCUUCCUUGCUCAGCAGGGACUCAUGAGCACGUGGGCAGCAGCUCUGGAGCUUGACUGUCCGGUGGGAGUCUCAGCCCUGCCACUUCCAGGCUGUUGGACCUCAGGCAAGAUGCUUCACCUCUCUGUGCCUCUGUUUUCUUAACUGUAGAAAUCACAGGCUUACCUCCUUUAUGGGGAUGUGGUGUGGAUUAAAGUGAGGUGCGUCGAUCCACACAAAGCACUUAGAACACUACCUAGCGUUCAAUAGCAGUAGUUAACACUGAGCACAUCGCCAUGGCCAUCAUCAUCAUCGUCAUCGUUGAGACCUGGCAUAUCGUUAGGGGAUACUGUGGGUGUGUUCCUUAUGGAGCAAACACCCUGCUUUGUUCAAGACCCUGGGGAGAGAUGGGUAAAUGCAGGGCUGUGUUCCGUCUUCUGCAUGGAGACUGAUUCAUAGCGUGAUUUUGGCACACCGUCUGCCAUGUCUGUGCCUCUGUGUCCCCAGUUGGAAUGAGGGUGGGGGAGGGGUCUUUUUAAAAAAGAUUUCUAUUGUAAAAAAACAAUAAAAAGAUUUCUAUUAUACCUCUAGUGCAUGAUAUUCCCCUGGCAGUAAUGACUAUAAAAAUGUGCAUGGCUAUUUAUUACAGUAUCACUUAUAAGGUAAUGUAAACAUUUAGAAACCAUCUCAGUGCCACUCCUCACUGGGAUUUUAAACAUGAGGGAAUUAGUAGCCCCACAUUGGAAAUAAUCCAGAUGUUCACUAGCAGGUGCACAGAUGCCCAAGCUCGUACGUCCACGUGAUAGAACGCUUCUCAGCAAUGAAAAGCAAUCCGCUCUCAGUAACAUGGGGCAAAAGCUCAAAAACCCUGUGCGAGGUGAAGAAGCCGCAGAGAGUGCCUACUGAAUGAAGCCAUUGAAAAGAAAUUCUGGAAAAAGGACAUCUAGGCUAUAAGGGCGGGGAAACAGUCCAGGGGCUGCCUAGGGGCAGGAUGUGGGGGCAAAGGAUUGACGACAAAGGGGCA
rnacentral:lncRNA from 1 species